CCUUACCUUUUAAAAUUCCUAAUUUUUACGGUAUUAUAAAAUUGGAGUGCAUCAAACUUCGCGAUUUUAAGUAUGAUAUACUGUCCCGUAAAAGACACUUUGGGAUUCCUGUAGUCUAGACGCUCUAUCUGCAUAGUUUCACUUUGAGCGUGGGCGAGCAGGAAGAGCGGCAAAGCAAUUCUGUUUAAUCAGCCCAGCCCAGCCAUGUAGUUCGAUAGACGUCUCGAACUCGAAGCAAAUCACAUGAGAACACGCUUAUAAGAUUUUUUAAAGCCUCACAACAAUUACAAAUAGGUGGCGGUCCAAGAGAUGACUCGAAAUCGUGAAAUACUGGAACGGUGAAAUGCAGGAACCAUGGAAUCAUGAGAUGACAAAAAGGUUGACAUCAAAAACGUAUUUUACGAACAGGAGUGUUCCUUAAUGUUGUUAUUUAUUAAUACUAGCCAGGCAAGGAAUGACACAAAUGGAACAAUAGUGGAACAGUGAAAUGCUGGAACCAUGGAAUCAAUGAUAGGUUUUUCCAGAAUCAAAUUGUUCUAAAACGCUAUGUAUGAAAUGCACUAUGUAGGAUAAGUUUUCUUGGCUGUAGUUGGAAAAAAUAGUAUAUUGAUAUAUUGAAAAAUGGACAGCUCAUCAGAUAUCAGUGAUACAAGUUCAUCUGAUGAAUAUUUUGAUUGUGAUGACCCAGACAAUGUAUUGUUUAACACAGUAGUAUUUGGUAAAACAGAUGAAGUACAGAAGCUAAUAGAUUAUGGUGUUAAUAUCAACUCAACCGAUGAUGAAGGUAAAACAGCAUUGAUGCAUUCAGUAAUAAAGGGUAAAGAAGACAUUGUUAAACUUCUUAUCAACUGUGGCGCUGAUAUUGACAUUUCUGAUAAUCAAGGACGAACAGCAUUAGUUUAUUCUAUUUUGAACUAUAGAAAAUCAAUUCUGAUGUUAUUGAUUGAAUGUAAAGCUAAUGUCAAUGUUGUUGAUCACAAAGGAAUCCCACCCUUAAAACUUGCACUCAUGCAUCAUGGUAAAGAGUCCAUGGUAGUAGCAUUAAUAAAUGUAGGUGCAGAUACAAAUAUCAAAUAUGACCAUGAAAAUUCAGCCCUGAUGCAUGCUGUCAGAUUUGGAAAAAAAGAAAUAGUAGGUGCUAUGAUCAAAGCAGGUGCUGAUGUGAAUAUUGUCAAUCAGCAAGGGAUGACUGCAUUGAUGAUUGCUGCAAGAUAUGGAUGGGAUCAGAUAGCUAGCCAAUUAAUUGAUGCAGGAGCUCAUCUAAACAUUGCUGAUAAACAAGGAAACACAGCUUUGUUCCUUGCUUUAAGACGUAGAUAUGAAGAAAUAGCUUUGUCACUAAUUAAUGCUGGUGCUGAUGUAAACAUGAUGGAUCAUGAAGGGAAGACUGCUGUGAUUAUUGCAUCAGUGCAUUUGCUCAAAAAAGCAGCUUUGUCCCUAAUUAAUGCUGGAGCUGAUGUGAGCAUGGUGGAUCAUAAAGGGGAGACUGCUUUACAUUAUGCUUCAAUUUCAAGUGAAGAAUUGACUGUUUUAUUGAUUGAGAAAGAAAAAACUCUUUUAAACAUCAGAGAUAUUUAUGGAAGGACCCCUUUGUUUUAUGCAAUAUUAUGGAAUAACUUAACAUCCUGUUACCUAGCUGAGCAAGGAGGAGAUCUCCAUGUGAGAGACAACCAUAAUGUGACACCAUUAUCGUUCUUAAUCUGUCAAUGCAUAGGAAUACAUGCAAGGAAUGCAUGCAACUUAAAUAAGCAGCACAUUAACCAAAUUUUAGCACUAUUCAAAGAAAAAGGAGUAACAAAGAAAGAAUUUUUUCAAACCCUCAUCAAUGUUCUAUUUUGCAAACUGCUCUCAUUUAGACCAAUGAGGUAUUCCAAAAAUGCAGAAACCAGAAUUUAUGGUUUGAUUGAGGUAGCAGUUCAAAUCUAUGGUAAAUUUACAGAGGAAAAAUGGAAAUAUGCCUUGGAGUACAUUAAUAGCAUGUUCUCCAGAGAUGAAUACAAGUUUCCUGUUUUGAAAGAGGCAAUGACUAUACUUAUUGACUUAGGUGCAGACCCAGAUACUGCUGAUGAAGAUGGGAAUACUGCUAUUCAUUAUGCAACACAACAAAUAUUGUUUGGACAAUCUGCUGAAAAUGUUUUGAAGAUUUUCAAUGAGUUUCAAGCCUUAGGGUCAUCACUGGUGAGGAAGAACUUCAGAGGAGAAACACCACUUCUCUUCUUACUCUCAGAAUUGAGAUCCGACUGGAAUUGGCAAGGCUCAAUUUCAACCAUCAUCACUGGAGUGACUAAAAUCUGCAAACGUAUAAAGGCUGUAAACCCCAUCUGUACUGGUACAACUGCAAACGGAGAAUCUAUUUUCCACCUCCUCAUCAAUAUUUUCCAACAGUACAUGGCGUGGGGAAAAUUGGAGCAAGAUGCUGGUUUGAUAUUGCACCUAUUAGAGCUGUAUGCACCACCAAUUGUUAAGUAUGGUGUGACUGUUAACAAAGUUGAUGAUAAAAUGUCCUCACCUGUUCAUGUCUGGGCUUCACUUUCUAAUCUUCUGAUUGAUAAGAAUCUUAAUUUUGAGAAAUUAUUGGAAGCUAUACUAAACCACCUGAAGAGAUGUGGUGCUGUCCUUUAUAUUAGAAAUGCAGAGGAACAAACACCAUUACACCUAUGUCGAACAUGGAGUGCUGUCAAGCUCUUGAUUAACUUGGGAGCAAAGCCAGGUGUUGUUGACUCAGAUCAAAGAUCCCCUUUCCUUGUCGCUGCACAGAAGCAGUUGUUUCAUUUGAAAGCUGGUUGUUUUUAUCCUGAUGUCACAGAGGAUGCUGUCACAUUCUGGAAAACUGCUGCCGAUAUGAAGCUUGACUUAUGGGCGUACGAUGUCAAUGGAAAUUCUGUGUUCAGUAUUCUUAUUGCAUCAGAAGAAUUCGUGCUGGCAAAGUCUUUACUUGAAAUUGCUUGCAAUGAUGGCUACAUCAAGUCAGAUGAAACCUUGGUUGCAGUGUUGAGUGACAUUUGUGAAGAUGAAUCAACUAAAACCACCUGGAAGGAACUUUUGGUGAAAGAGAUCUUAAAGACUAUUAGUCGGCCAAUGGAUAUGAAAAUGCCCUUGCGACACUGCUGUAGGAAUAUCAAAAAUUCCUAUAAAGAGCAUUCAUUUGAUUCUGUCCAUUGGCAAAUUGCCAAGAAGUUGCUGUCAUUUGGCGCAGAAGGAUCAUGUUGCUUGGAUAUAGCAGAAGGUUAUCCCGAACUCCAUGCUCUUCUUGCACAGCCCCUAGACAUGGACGAAGUACCAUUGGCCAUUCCAUGGACUUCUCACUCUCAUAAUUAUGCCAGUAAACUUGCUCAAGUCACCAGGAGACAGCAUUGUCAAAUUGUGGAGAUGUACUGGUAUCACACUGAGCCCAUUGGAAAAGGUGUAUUUGGUCACGUCUUUGCUGGCAUUAAUUCAAAAGAUGGCAUGGAAGUUGCAGUCAAGAGAAUCGAGAAUUUGCGUCUAGAGAGGCGACAAGAAAGAGAAGCUUACACCUUUGCUUCGCUUACUGGAUGCAGAAAUGUUGUUCAUUACCUUGCCUUUUGCACAGAUGUGCACUUCUCCUUCAUCAUAUUGGAACUCAUGGAAGGAAAUCUCAAUGAAUACUUUGAAAGUCCUCAUUUCAACAGCAGCAACAACACCACUCUCUGCAGAGAUGUUUUCUGUGGAAUAAACUACUUGCAUGGGGAAAACAUUGUUCAUCGGGAUAUUAAGCCAACUAACAUCCUGUACAAAACCCAUCCUGAGUUAUGUGUGAAAAUAGCAGACUUUGAUUUAAGUCGUCGUUUAGAUAUUGAUUCAUCGUUUACUGUUAUGGCUCCAGGAGUUGGAUCCAGGGGUUGGAUAGCUCCAGAGGUUGUGAAGUCAACUCCCUAUAAACAUUCCAUGGAGUCGGAUAUAUUCUCGUGUGGCCUUAUAACACACUACAUCUUCUCACCAAAGAAACAUCCAUUUUACCCAACUGUUUGUACAGGAAAAAGUGAAUUGCAGAUCAACCAGGAAACAGAAAAGAACAUAUCUGAUGGAGAAAUGAAAAGUUUUGAUGGCUCUAUUGCGCCAGAGGCCUCUGAUUGUAUAAGGAAAAUGCUUGACAUCAAUGAGAAAGAAAGACCAACUGCAGAGGCUGUACUUAAGCAUCCAAUGUUUUGGUCGAACAAGAAGAAGAUGAAUCUUCUUACCGCUGUUGGUAAUCAGCCAGAAUUUGAAGAACCACGGGUAAAAAGAACUGUUCUACAUGUAAGCCCUGUAGAGUUGGUUCUAGAAUCAAAUGUCUCCACCAUAGUAAAGUAUGGGAAAUGGGAUGACCCUAGAUACACACACAUGCCUGGAAUCUACUCUGAAAUGACAAAGCCGAUUGUCAAACCAGCAAAGAAGGGAAAGUAUUAUACCAUUAAACCUAGAAACUAUGAUGUCACCUCUGUUGUUGACUUGGUACGGUUCAUUCGCAACUCCAUUGCCCAUGUUUCUGAUGUCAGUCGCCCAAGCCCAAUCAGAAAUGAAAUUCUUGGCAAUACUGUAUUCCUGGAGUACUUUCCAAAUAUUACCAUGGAAGUGUACAAUGCUGUGACCAAACAUGGAUGGAGUCUUUCGAGGGAAGAAAUCCAACAUGCCAUUGCUGACAAAUGAGGCUCGACUACCAAAGACGAAUUGGAACACAAUUACUGUAAAUAUAUAACUGACAUGAAAUUGUCAUCAAGUCACUAUAAUCUGAUAAUAUUCAUAAAGUCAAGAAAUCGUCAUCACUUCAAACAGAUCACAAUGGAGGUGACAACAUGCUUUGUCAUCAGCAACAUCACCUGAGUUGCUGACAUAGAUUCACUACCAAGCUAUGUGCUAUCACAACAUCCAGCAUUCUGAUUGGCUACUGAACUAUGGUAUAUUCAUGAUUUAACAUGGUAGCAACGAAUGAAGCAAAAAUUAGUCAUUUCAGUUCACUGGCAGAUCCAGCACUACUUCAGCAAUUUGCAUCAUAAAACAAAUCCAUGAAAAUGAGCCAUUUUGUUUUUAUGAUGCAAUCCGUGAAUA
rnacentral:misc_RNA from 1 species